UACGUAGGGUGCGAGCGUUAAUCGGAAUUACUGGGCGUAAAGCGCGUGCAGGCGGUCUUGCCAGUCUGAUGUGAAAUCUCCCCGCUCAACGGGGAGCAGCCAUUGGAAACUACAAGACUGGAGUCUGACAGAGGUAGGCGGAAUUCCGGGUGGAGUGGUGAAAUGCGUAGAGAUCCGGAGGAACACCAGAGGCGAAGGCGGCCUACUGGGUCAGUACUGACGCUGAGCCGCGAAAGCCAGGGGAGCGAACGGG
rnacentral:rRNA from 1 species